GCCUAAUUAGCAGCUCACCUGGAUCAGCUGCUCAUUGGAACAAACAUUUAGCAGAAAGGUGCAGACACUCAGUGAGGAAGCUUCUUUUUCUGUGUGAAACUGUUGCCUGAACAGCCUGGAACUGGAUUCUGCUGCAGAAAGCCUCAUGUGAUCCUAAACCAGGCCUGGACAGGUGUUUGUUGCUUCAGUUUGCCCUCAUCUGUCUACAGCAGGAUCUUUCAAACUCACUCCCACAGGUCGAUCUACAAACUGUGAGUUUUGUCUUUAUCUUGUAUUCUCUUGUGUUUUUUUCCUGGCUGCCUAUUUCUCUUUCCAUCUGUGUGAUCAGUCUUUGUUUUUACAUUCUUUGCAUCUCCCUCUGAACUUCUGUGUUAUUUUCUAUCUAAAUCUUUCUAACAUGGCUGCCAUGAUGAUCUCAUUUUGUCUUUUGAUUUGAUGAAUGUUUUUGUGUUUUUGUUCAGCUGCUGUGCUAAAUUCCAUUUCAAUAGUGUCCAAUCCUGCCUUCUUUGUUUCUUUACAUGUUUCUUUGCAAACUGUUCUUUCUCUGCUUCUGUAUUUGUCUAAACUUCCAACAUGGCCGCCGUGCCUCGACUGUCUCUGAUUUUUGUCCAGAAAAUGUCCUAUUUUAACUUUGGUGUCGACUCCUUUCUUCUAGAAACGCUGCUCAUGUUUUGUGUGGAACGUUUCCACUCAUCUCUGCGUUGCUUUAGCUUAGAUUCAUUUUGAUGCAGAACAGUUAGUCGGUGUUAAAGGUUGGUGGAUUUUAUCGACGGUUUUCCUUCAAACAACAUGGAAGCCCAUUUAUCAGUCAGUGCUGUAGUUUUCUGACAGUUAUUUUGAUGCAGAAACCUUCCUCUCAGGGUCAGAGUGCUUUCAGUCUUGGGUAGAGCCUUAUUCUUGUUGGCUGCUGUGCCUCAUCCUGAUUCUCACAUCUUAUUCUAUCGAUGUCAGCUUUGGUUGCCGUGUCAACCGCUGUCUUGCCAACAUGGCUGCUUUUCCAUAACAUGUUUAGACUUGAUAUUGUGUUGAACUUUAGCGAUUUCUCAGCUUUUCCUUUCCCCCUCAUGACUGCAUUUCUUUGACUGGCUGCUGCUGAUUGAAGGUUCCUCAUCUUGGUCUGGUGUUUGGACUGAAGUAGCGCAGAGGUUUAUGUUGACUGGAAGGUGGUUCUCUGGUUCAUCUUGAACUUAUUCUGGCUUCACUGUCAACAGGCAGGCAGGCAGUUUUGGUGAAAACUUCAGUAAUGAUGCUUCAGUUUGAUCUGAGCUUCAGAGUUGGUCUUGAAGUAAAUGUCAGUGGAGCAGUUGUAGAAUCUGCAGUGACUCAGAUGGUUGAAAGUCUUGAUCUAACCAGACUGUCUGGUUCUGGAUGUCAGACCUGAGAUUAUUGAAGCAUUGAUCUCUCUGUAAUUGUUUAAUUUCUACCUCUUCUCCUCAUUUGCUGUAUCCAACAUGGCUGCUAUGCCAUGACUUCAUCUGUGACAGAAGUGUAACGUUACACAACUCAAUGCACUGUUUUUGGUGCAGCUUUCCCAGACUAAAAACUAAAUAGAAUCUAACUUUGUAUUAAAUGUGAGUCUGAUCCAAACCUGUGGCUCCAGGAUGAAAACUUGUAAUGUUCCACUGCGACUAUUUCAGCAGUCAGGUUAAGUUUUGUACAUAAACUUUUACUCCUUAGGAAGAUUCUACGACUGGUGAGUGCCGUUUUCCUUUAAUGUAUCAGAGUUUUUAUCUACCAUCUUUCUCAUCUCAUUUGACCUACGUCUACUUUGGUCAGUGUCAGUUUCUCUCCAUGUGUCUGUUUCCGUCUCCAAUCUUUCAUGAAUUCUCAGAUGCAUUAUCAUGUCCAUCUUGUGGCCACUGUGCCAACCUCUGUAUAUUCUCUCAUCUCAGUUUACCUUUGCUUAGGUCAACAUGUCGACUUCUGUCCAUUUGUCUGUUUCUUUCUAACCUUGUUUCUUUCAUCAGUUUUCUCACAAUUGCACAACAACGUCUGUCUGCUUUACCACCAUGUCAUGUUGACUGUCAUGUGACCACUGUGAUGUCUGUUUGUCCAUCAUGUCUGUCUGUCUUGUAGCCACAGUGUCAUGUUGGUCCAUCUCAUGGCGACCAUGACAUGAGGACUCAUGGAUAUUCUGGGUCAGAAUCUUUCUCAUUCACACUAAAAUGUGUCCUUAAUCUUUCCUCCAGUUAGAAGUAUUGAUGAUUUAACUGCUUGCUUCUCUUGACUUCAGUUGUGACCGUAGAUGUCCAAACAAACCUCAUCACUGCAGACCUCAUGCAUCUUCAUGAGGAAAUAUUAAACCCAACCAUAAAGGGCAGCAAUUACCUUUUCAGGAUGAUUGAGGAUGGAGCAGAUGCCUCCAAAGAAGCCAGUGUGAGAUGCUGCCACCCAGAAGCAGGAUUCUAGAGGGAUGUGCAGAUGAAGACCAAGCUGUGAUGAAGCUUUAUUUAUGAAAGUCUGUCAGACAAAAUGAUCUGAAAGGUUUCUUCAGUUACACUGCAUUUAAUCUUCUGUUUUUAUUACUCACUCCCCAGUUAGCAUCUAUGAAAUGCUUUUACUUUUUUACUUUUUCUUUGUCUAAAUCUUAAGGAAGGAUGGAAAUCAUCCUGUGACCUGACUUGACCUCACAAAGUCCUGCACACCUCCAUGACCUUCAGACCAGAAACUAGUUCUGCACAUCACAUGUCUGCAAGCUGCUCAGGAAACAGGGCAGCCACCUUAACUUCAGGAGUUUAACCCAAACCCUUUGCUACUUGGACUAAAUAAAAAGCCCUUCAUCCCAGACUUUACUGAAGAAAGAAACUGAGCCUGUUGCAUAAAGAACUGAACUACAGACUGACGUUACCAAGUACAAACUACACAUAAUUCAAAGUUGGUGGAUUUGACUCCUAAAGUAUUGACAGUCUAUCAUCCAUGGUUACUGAGACGAUGGAAGAUGGGUUUUGAACUGUUGAAAAUCAUACGUUGGUCGUGUCUCCUGAUCCAUGCUGCCACCACUGAACAUGUAUGAUUAUGUUUGUAUGACUUGACACUAGGCCUGAUAAGUUCAUCACCACUUACAUCUUGACAAAUUGCACAUUUACUGUAUCUGUGUUUUUGGGUCAAGCAGGUCUUUUGCGCGUUCGUUUUGUAUCCUUCUGAUUAUUUAUUCUGCUUGGAGGCCUCCCUACAGAGGUUUUAUUUCCCCACUCCUGCAAAGAUAUUUAGCCAUUGAGAGAAUGUUUUGCAUGUUUUCAUACAUACAUGGGAUGUCUGUCUAGGGUGGAGGGAUGACUUGGACAUCAACUUGCUCAAAAACUAAUCCAAGCCCAGUUUUUGGCAUGUUGGCUUCAUUUUUUUAGUGGUUACAAUCAUGAUGCAUUAAUGCAAUAAUGGGAGAGUUGCUCCUAUUUGUGUGGCUGACUUGCUUAAAUAAAACAUUCUGUAGAAAGAAAAGCCCAUAAGGUUAAUGGACUCUGUGCUCCUGCAUGUUGGAUGUGAUUAGAAACCUCAAAUCCGUAGCUCAACAUUGACUAGCAGCUGCCUGAGGUGAAAACAAGACCAUCAGACCUCGACUUAUGACUGCUGCUGUGGAAACAGAACCACCAUGACCUCAGCUAUUUAACCCAAACCCUCGGUUAAGGUUGAUGAUGAUCUGAGACAAAGUGGUCUCAAAGGUUUGUUCAGUUUUACUGUCUACUCAGUCUGCCUUAAUACUCAUUGCUGGUUGUCAGUGUAAUACAUGUUAACUGAUUGCUUUGU